CGUGCCGUCGCUCGGAGUGGGCGCGGUGCUGCAGACGCUGCUCGGACUGGCAAUCGUGAUUGCAUUCGUGUUCGGCUGCGCAUGGCUCGC
rnacentral:tRNA from 1 species